rnacentral:rRNA from 1 species
UUGAUCCUGGCUCAGAACGAACGCUGGCGGCGUGCCUAACACAUGCAAGUCGAGCGAUCCUUCGGGAUAGCGGGGGACGGGUGAGUAACGCGUGGGAACGUGCCCGAUGGUGCGGGAUAGCCUCUGGGAAACGGAGAUUAAUACCGCGAUAUACCCUACGGGGGUAAAGAUUCAUCGGCAUCGGAUCGGGCCGCGGUUGUAUUAAGUAGUUGGUGGAGUAACGGGCUCACAAGGCGACGAUCCAUAGCUGGUUCGAGAGGAUGAUCAGCCACACUGGGACUGAGACACGGCCCAGACUCCUACGGGAGGCAGCAGUGGGGAAUCAUAGACAAUGGGGGAAACCCUGAUCUUGCCAUGACGCGUUAGCGAUGAAGGCCCCUAGGUUGUAAAGCUCUUUCGCCAGGGAAGAUAAUGACGGUAGCUGCGUAAAGAAUCCCCGGCUAACUCCUUGCCAGCAGCCGCGGUAAUACGGAGGGGGUUAGCGUUGUUCUGAAUUACUGUGGCGUAAAGCGCACUUAGGCGGACUGGAGAGUUGGGGGUGAAAUCCCAGGGGCUCAUCCCUUGGAACUGCCUUCGUGGCUGUCAGUUCUGGAGUCCUAGAGAGGUGAUUGGAGGUCCGACUGUAGACGUGAUGUUCGUAGUUGUUCGCGAAGAACACCAUUGGCGACGGCGGCUCACUGGCUCGGUGCUGCCGCUGAGGUGCGAACGUGUGGGG